GCUUGUCUCAAAGAUUAAGCCAUGCAUGUCUAAGUAUAAACUGCUUUAUACUGUGAAACUGCGAAUGGCUCAUUAAAUCAGUUAUAGUUUAUUUGAUGGUACCUUACUACUCGGAUAACCGUAGUAAUUCUAGAGCUAAUACGUGCGUAAAUCCCGACUUCUGGAAGGGACGUAUUUAUUAGAUAAAAGGCCGACCGGGCUUGCCCGACUCGCGGUGAAUCAUGAUAACUUCACGAAUCGCAUGGCCUCGUGCCGGCGAUGUUUCAUUCAAAUUUCUGCCCUAUCAACUUUCAACCGUAAGGUAGUGGCCUACGGUGGUGGUAACGGGUGACGGAGGAUUAGGGUUCGAUUCCGGAGAGGGAGCCUGAGAAACGGCUACCACAUCCAAGGAAGGCAGCAGG
rnacentral:rRNA from 1 species